rnacentral:rRNA from 1 species
CCUAACCUGCGGCCCUGAAUCGGGUCGGGGGACACUGUUAGACGGGCAGUUUGACUGGGGCGGUCGCCUCCAAAAGAGUAACGGAGGCGCUCAAAGGUUGGCUCAGCACGGACGGAAAUCGUGCACAGAGUGCAAACGCAUAAGCCAACUUGACUGCGAGACCGACGGGUCGAGCAGGUACGAAAGUAGGAGUUAGUGAUCCGGUGGUAUGUGAGUGGAAAUGCCAUCGCUCAACGGAUAAAAGCUACCCUGGGGAUAACAGGCUGAUCUCCCCCAAGCGUCCACAGNNNNNNNCUGGGGCUGAAUUCGGUCCCAAGGGUUCGGCUGUUCGCCGAUUAAAGUGGCACGCGAGCUGGGUUCAGAACGUCGUGAGACAGUUCGGUCCCUAUCUGUUGCGGGCGCAGGAGAUUUGAAGGGAGCUGUCCUUAGUACGAGAGGACCGGGAUGGACUGACCUCUGGUGCACCAGUUGUCGUGCCAACGGCACAGCUGGGUAGCUAUGUCGGGACGAGAUAAACGCUGAAGGCAUCUAAGCGUGAAACUCCCCCUAAGAUAAGAUCUCCCAUCCUUUAUGGAGUAAGGGUCCAUGUAGACUACAUGGUUGAUAGGCCGGCGGUGUAAGCGCAGUAAUGUGUUCAGCCUACCGGUACUAAUAGCCCGAGGGCUUGACCUACAGUU